rfam:Stegodyphus mimosarum contig92571, whole genome shotgun sequence.
GGCUUCGUGGUGUAGUGGUCAGCACGCUCGAUGCGUAUUCCAGAGGUCCGUGGUUCGAGUCCCGGCGAAGGCG